UACGAAGUGUGCUAGCGUUGUUCGGAUUUACUGGGCGUAAAGCGUGCGUAGGUGGCUUUACAAGUCAGGGGUGAAAUCCUGGGGCUCAACCCCAGAAUUGCCUUUGAAACUGUAGAGCUAGAGUAUCGGAGGGGAUAGCGGAAUUGCUAAUGUAGAGGUGAAAUUCGUAGAUAUUAGCAGGAACACCGGUGGCGAAGGCGGCUAUCUGGACGAUUACUGACACUCUGGCACGAAAGCGUGGGGAUCAAACAGG
rnacentral:rRNA from 1 species